CGCCAUAGAAGGUCCGGAGAAAGCUGGUUUUCAUAUUUUUACAUCAUAUCAAGAAUCCAAAGAAGAACGAGGAAAAGAAAAAGUUGCGGAAUAGUCCCUAAAUUUCAAUAUCUUCUACAAAUUAGCCGGAUUGACUUGAAGUGAAGUGGGUAGAUCGGAUCAACACAACAAAGCACACUAUCCAGAUCAAUUCCGGUAGCUUUUGUUUUAUGUUUGAAGAUUUAUAUGGCAUGUAUAGAGUUUAAAUGAAAUGAAGUAAAGAUGUUAUAAACUAGUUAACAACAUUUUGUACUAAAAUAGUUUUUGGUUAGUAGCAGUAGUCUGAGUUUGAAAA